rnacentral:lncRNA from 14 species
CAGGAAGCUCCCCCACGGAGGCUAUUUGAAUCUGCCUCCAUCUCUUUUCUUCUGGUUAAUUUCCUGGGUGGCCAACAUCUCGGAACAUUCAUGGCAGCUGCUCAUCUAUGUCUCAGUGGUCACCUGAUAUCUCACCUCAAAUCUGCAGGUACUUAAAAGGUGAUCUCUCUAGGCACUCACUGCCUGCCAAGUCGAAAGGCAGGAAGAGAAAAGGUAUCGAUCACCCGGAGUUUGGCUGCGUGGUUUUCAGAACACAUUCUUGGCCACACUACUGCUCUGUUUCACCCUCUUUCCUGUAGACUCAUUCUUUGCACCACACCCCUUAGCCCUGCAUGGCUACCGCUGAAGAAACUAAAGCUAAUGCUGUUUGCUUAAGAUCAUGUCGUUUGCUUGGUUCAUGUUUCUAAUCCUGGCACACUCGGGAGGCAGGGGCAGGUGUAUCUCCGUGAGUUCAAGGCCAGCCUGG